UCUCAUUACACAAAAAUGUCUCAAUGUUC
rnacentral:piRNA from 1 species